rnacentral:rRNA from 1 species
CCUACGGGCGGCAGCAGUAGGGAAUCUUCGGCAAUGGACGAAAGUCUGACCGAGCAACGCCGCACGAGUGAAGAAGGUUUUCGGAUCGUAAAACUCUGUUGUUAGAGAAGAACAAGUAGGAGAGUAACUGCUCUUACCUUGACGGUAUCUAACCAGAAAGCCACGGCUAACUACGUGCCAGCAGCCGCGGUAAUACGUAGGUAGCAAGCGCUGUCCGGAUUUAUUGGGCGUAAAGCGAGCGCAGGCGGUCUUUUAAGUCUGAUGUGAAAGCCCUCGGCUCAACCGAGGAAGGUCAUUGGAAACUGGAGGACUUGAGUGCAGAAGAGGAGAGUGGAAUUCCACGUGUAGCGGUGAAAUGCGUAGAUAUAUGGAGGAACACAAGUGGCGAAGGCGACUCUCUGGUCUGUAACUGACGCUGAGGCUCGAAAGCGUGGGGAGCAAACAGGAUUAGAUACCCCUGUAGUC